UGCGCCGCGGCGGCGGCGGCGGCGGCGCGGGCUCUGGGGCUGGUGUUUGGCGGCGCCAGAGCAGCGGAUCCUGGUCUCGCCGCGGCAGCA
rnacentral:pre_miRNA from 1 species